rnacentral:rRNA from 1 species
UACGAAGGGGGCUAGCGUUGCUCGGAAUCACUGGGCGUAAAGGGUGCGUAGGCGGGUCUUUAAGUCAGGGGUGAAAUCCUGGAGCUCAACUCCAGAACUGCCUUUGAUACUGAAGAUCUUGAGUUCGGGAGAGGUGAGUGGAACUCCGAGUGUAGAGGUGAAAUUCGUAGAUAUUCGGAAGAACACCAGUGGCGAAGGCGACACACUGGCCCGUUACUGACGCUGAGGCGCGAAAGCGUGGGGAGCAAACAGG